GCGAGAGUGGCGGAAUUGGCAGACGCACGGGCUUUAGGUGCCCGCGAGCUAUUGGCUCAUCGGGGUUCGAGUCCCCGCUCUCGCACCA
rnacentral:tRNA from 1 species